ACGAACGCUGGCGGCGUGCUUAACACAUGCAAGUCGAGCGGUAAGGCCUUUCGGGGUACACGAGCGGCGAACGGGUGAGUAACACGUGGGUGAUCUGCCCUGCACUCUGGGAUAAGCCUGGGAAACUGGGUCUAAUACUGGAUAUGACUACAGCAUGCAUGUGUUGUGGUGGAAAGAUUUUUCGGUUGGGGAUGGGCUCGCGGCCUAUCAGCUUGUUGGUGAGGUAAUGGCUCACCAAGGCGUCGACGGGUAGCCGGCCUGAGAGGGUGACCGGCCACACUGGGACUGAGACACGGCCCAGACUCCUACGGGAGGCAGCAGUGGGGAAUAUUGCACAAUGGGCGCAAGCCUGAUGCAGCAACGCCGCGUGAGGGAUGACGGCCUUCGGGUUGUAAACCUCUUUUAGCAGGGAAGAAGCGAGAGUGACGGUACCUGCAGAAAAAGCACCGGCUAACUACGU
rnacentral:rRNA from 1 species